AGCUUUGCACAGUGGCAGUAUCAUAGCCAAUGAGGUUUAUCCGAGGCGCGAUUAUUGCUAAUUGAAAGAAGCCACGUAAGGACAAACACC
ensembl:snRNA U4 U4 spliceosomal RNA